CAUUCUAUUUGUCUUUCACUAUACCCGGGCUUGUUGUUGCCCCGCAUGCGGUACGAGGAGCUGAGUAGACUUGGCUCUUGGCAAAGUGGCGACAGGUGUUGUACCGAGAGAAGGGUUUGGCGCCGAACAAGCCUGAUGCGUGUUAGAAAAAAAUAGGCCACUGUGAUGCCCUCCGGAGGGGUGUCUGCUCCUUGCACUAGGAACCGUAGCUGGCAGUGUACCGUUAUGAAACGCAGCUCUGUGCCGAGGGAGAGUUGAGGGUGCUAAAACUACCCGUCCGUGCACGGAGCCAAUGCUCUGAGCUAUGCUCUCGUUUCUUGGGGACCACAAAUCGGUGGAACGUUUUUCUAAUAUCGCUGCAAUGCCACAACUGCAGUCAUCCAUGCUAGGAACUGAGGAAGCGAGUGAAAAUCGCCAUCUAGUUCCAAACAAUGGACUGGAAGCGGUGGUAACGCUGAAAGGUAACGAGAUCUCCUCGCAGCCUCGCUAACAGCUUGAUACGAUUGAUAAUUGGCGUCAUAACAACCAGCCGCUGACGUCCGGGGGUUCCCCAAAACGAAAAAGCCCUCUGCGAAUCUGUUCACCUAAAUUUUAGUGAAUCGUUCAGAUUCUUCUAAUCGACAGAGACCGGCAGAUAAAAUAACCUGGAUCAAGCAACCUAACAUUCUCUGCAUAACAGCACCCUUAUGAAAAUGUGAUAUUAGGUCGUCCGGCGACUAACAUACUCUUAGCUGGUGAUGAAUGUGAGCCAGAUGCUCGUGCACAGCUUGCCGACCAGAAAAGGCUUCGAGAAAGUGCUGCCACAGGACGAUAUUUUGAGCACAUAGUUGCGCUAUAUCUGCGUCUUCUGUGCUCAUCAUCUAAAAAAAGUUCCAAUGCUCUAGGGCUCUCUGUUGCCAGGAAGGAAGUAGACGAGCAAGAUCUGCCAUUUCAACAAGCAGAGAUUCUCGAGCGGUCAGCAGAAGCCGGACUACUUCCUGUUGCACCAGUUGAGCGUGGUGUAUCCUUGUCGCGGAACCCACACAUCUGGUAGUAUGUUCCUGUAGGAUAUUAUUCCAAAAAUUAUCCGGAUGCAAAGUCUAGUAUGCAAUUCAAUAUACAGUUAAUGAUUAUUUUUCUGAAACUCACAAUAUUUCCGAACAGAAUUUUGCUUUCAUCAUUCACACCGGUUUGCUUAAACUGUAACCAUGGCUUGCCUCCACGUGGAGCACUGUAACGUAUAAGCAUGUAGAUAAAAAUACCAGAAGAAUUUUCUAUCUUUCAUUAAGUUAAGACACACUCACCAACUUUGUACGUAAUGCAAAAUACUUUUUCUGCCAUAGUAAUGAUCAGACAUAGAAAAAACGAUACAACGGUGCAAUUAGUCAUGACCCCUCGUGAAAUGUAAGCGAUUGUUUAUCAUGAAUUUGCUGGUGGGAUAUCAAGUAUCUACAAAAUAUCUUUCAACAAAAUAUUAGGUAGCUAGACAUUGGCCAUCUAAUUACGGAAUUUAAAUUGAAGAAUAUACUGACUUUAUAUAAGGUUGAUGUAGAGCGACGAGGCAGACAUGAAUGGUGAUGGAAACUGCUGCGAGAUGGAAAUAAUCGAAGAGUACGGGUAGAUGAUAAUGCAGUCCUUUUGUCGGGGUAAAAUUUAACUGUAGAGCUCUGAAAGUUAGAGCAAGAAAACAAAAAAAUAAAAAAGUGAACUGAGUAUGAAAAACUGA